GACGAACGCUGGCGGCGUGCUUAACACAUGCAAGUCGAACGGGAUUUAGUAAACAGAAGCCUCGGUGGAAGAUUACUAAUGAGAGUGGCGAACGGGUGAGUAACGCGUGAGCAACCUGCCUAUGACAGUGGGAUAGCCUCGGGAAACCGGGAUUAAUACCGCAUAAAAUCGUAGAAACACAUGUUUUAACGGUCAAAGAUUUAUCGGUCAUAGAUGGGCUCGCGUCUGAUUAGCUAGUUGGUGAGAUAACAGCCCACCAAGGCGACGAUCAGUAGCCGGUCUGAGAGGAUGAACGGCCACAUUGGAACUGAGACACGGUCCAAACUCCUACGGGAGGCAGCAGUGGGGAAUAUUGCACAAUGGGGGAAACCCUGAUGCAGCGACGCUGCGUGAACGAAGAAGGUAUUCGUAUCGUAAAGUUCUGUCCUAUGGGAAGAUAAUGACAGUACCAUAGAAGAAAGCUCCGGCUAAAUACGUG
rnacentral:rRNA from 1 species